rnacentral:lncRNA from 1 species
AAACACACUGCUCAACAUUGUCCAAAGAAAUGACACAAUCACAAAAUGAGAAAUAUGGCUGUGAAAGAAGACAAUAUGUCGAAAAACGAAUUUAUCCAGCUACAAUAGGGACCGUGCAGCUGGAACCUUGCACAACAUCUAGUAAAGGUCCUAUUCUCUCCUCAGAGCCCUCUCCUUGUUUUACAUUAAAUGUUAUUUUAGGACC